GGUGGUAGCUCAGUGGUAGAGUGCUUGCCUCCCAAGCGUGAGGCCCUGGGUUCGGUCCCCAGCACCA
rnacentral:tRNA from 1 species